CGAAGAGCCCUAAAAAAGCUUUUGGAGUAUGUCGGCGCUCUUCAACUUCCAAUCGUUCCUCACAGUGGCGCUCCUGGUGAUCUGUACGUGCACAUUCGUCAAGCUCCAGUUCCCGAGCUUCAUGAAUCGCAAGACUGGAUUUCGAGGAGUUUUCUGGAAAGCUGCUCGGAUCGGGGAGCGAUUGAGCCCUUGGGUAGCAGCAGCGUGUCUGGUAAUGGGAUUAUACAUGCUAGUCUUUUAGAUGAAAUUUAUUUCUUUGGAGCAAAGCUAGAACACCUUAAAGAUUUCCAGCCGAGGAUUUUCACAAGAACUUCCUUCUAUCAGCUUGCCUCCGAGAUUUUCACUCCGGAUGAGACUGUGGCUUGAUCAAGCCCGUGAAGAGCGUCGAUAAGUUGGAGCCGGAGAGAGGCCGGGCCGCUUGCCUUGCUCAUGCCGAUCUCUCCGGCCAGGCCGAAGAGCGCUAGAGCAAACGCGCAAGCCUCUAGGUGCUGCUCGCGGGGGUAGACCGCUGCAAACGCCGCGAUGAGAGCCGUGACCGAGCAGCCAGACGCAGUGAUCUUCUGGAGCAUCGGCACUCCAUUGCUCACGCUCACCACUCUCGUCCCGUCCGUGACCAAGUCCACCGCUCCAGAGACCGCGACGACGCAGUGAUACUUCUCCGCCAGCGAUUUUGCUGCUCCGAGAGCCUGGGACGGAUCAUGGGCACUGUCCACUCCCUGUGCAUUGAUCGAACGAAGAGAAAAAACGAUUUUUCAGAAGAAGAA